UAUUUAUGAAAAGGGGAGUGAGUGGCUUUUUGCAUGUAAUUUCAUUGGUGGCCAGCUAAGGGAGGAGAAUAGUUUAAUAUUUUUUUCUUCUCUCCCUUGACCGUUGAGGAGAUGACCAGGGGGAAAGGGGAAUAGAUGAGAAAACGUCCAUUUUGAAUAAAAAAAUAACAAGAUCCUUUCUUUUCUUUGCCUAGCAAUCGAACGUAUGAGGAGCCAUUUUUGCAGCUGACGCUAAGGAGAUAGGAGGGAGCAAGUCGGGUAGUCAGUUGACAACUUGGAGGAGUUUUGGUAAGUUUUCAAAGGAGGUAUGCCUAAACUAUAAUGCUUAUUUAAUGGUUAGUUUUGCAUGUAUUACACGGCCUUUAGGAGUAAUUUAAACUAAGUUUUGGUAGUUAAAGAAUAGUGAAAUGGCCGCUGUUUGUACUGCCGAUUGAAGAGGAAAAAUUGUGAUUUAAUUGCCUUAUGUUGCUGUUUAAAUUGAAGAGAAAACUUGUUUUGUUUAAUUCCAUGCCACUGUUGUGCUUGCUGUUCGAAUGAAAGGGAAAUUUACUAAUUUAAUGCCAUAUCUGAACUGCUGUAGGAAACCGACUUGGGAAGUUGUAGUUGUAGUAAGCUCCUUAAAUUUCUUUUAAGCUUGCUAAGUGACUAAAUUGACAUGCAUGGUUCCGCAAAAAUUUUGUUCAUAAACUUAUUUGUUAUAUGUGUUUAAGUGAGGUAAGUUCUUGAGGUUUUUGUCUUCAAACUUCAUGCUUUAAUUAUUGCUAAAUUAACAUGCAACUUUCGGCUGUGGAGUACAAUGAAUUAAACCUUCACUUAUUCGGUUGUAUGUGUUUCCUAGUUUUCUUUGGAUGCCCGAAUAUGAUAUGUCGACAUUGAUGCUGUCCUAAAUGACAUUAAUAAGCUGUUCAAUUUGUGUUAUUCAUGCUGCUUAAAUGUCCUAAAUUGAGUGUUUUUUUUACCUACUUGUAUGUAAAGGUGGUUAAGGUUUGGUUUUCUCUGCCAUGUUGCUGCUCGAAAUUUUGGACAAUAUGUCGGUGAUACUGCAUGUUGAAUUUUAUGAUUUUUGGGACAUGAAGGAUGCGGUUCGACUUUGAAUAAAAUUAAUGAGUAAAAGGCGGAUUAAAUCUCAUGAUUUUACCUUGUUUAUGCCGUUUAAACAGCUUGAAUCCACAUAUACUACUCUUGGACAGCAUUGGAGCUGGGUGGAUGAAGUGCAAUGGUUUUGUUGCUUUGUUAUGCGAUGAUACUGGCUCUUUUAUGAGAGGGGUCACUGGGAAUGCUAACACUUUCUUGGAGCCGCAUGUGGUCGAAGAAGAGAGGCGUUAUCCAAGCUCAAAGAUUCAAGAAUAGACAAUAUAGUUGUCGGAUCGAACUGAGUUUGGGUUGAUUUUAAAAGGUUGUCUAUUGUUGAAAGAGGAGUUUUAACAUUUUUGCUUUUCAGUGGGCACAAAGAAAUACUAGUAAGGCAACUCAUCAUUUGGCUUGCAAACUAGUUCAUUCAUGAUGAAGUUCCGAAUUGUCUUUUAUGUGUUUUAGAUAAUGAUACUUCUUCUACUACUGCCAUUAAAGUAGAGGGAACUAGAAAGGGGUGUAUAGGGUAAUUUUGUUGACUUGGGUUUUAGAUUCUCCAUUUCUCUUUUAGUUGUCUCAAUUUUUAAAAUAAUUGCAUGUAUUUUCAAGAAAAAGUUUAAUGAUUAAUCAUCAUCUAAAA